UAAUAAAUAAGUCAUAAAAAUAAUCAUAGUUCGACUCUGUUAGCUAUACGUGCAAUAAAUAUUUAACUCGUUAAUAUGUACGAUUCUUAUAAUCCAAAUUAAUAUCUAUUUAUGUAAAUCUGUAUCUCAAAUUGCUCAUAUCAUCCUGUAUCUUUUUUUCAAUAUAUAUAUUAUAAAUAUUUGUUCAUAUUACGCGCGUUCCGUGUAAUUUUCCACUUUGGAAUUUCCCACAAACGCGACAAAAUCCGCACGACGACGGUGUUGAGUAAGAGGAACGCCAGCAGGGUGACGAAAACUGCCGGACUGUGGAAGCCCAACAUCGGGUAACUAAUGAUAUGGUAGACCGCGGGCAACGUAAUCGUAAGUGGCAGCUCGCCGACCAUUUUCGCCAAGUAAUAGGCCGAGAGCCGAUACGAUCCUGACAGUCGCUCCUUGUUGAUCACCUCGC
rnacentral:misc_RNA from 1 species